rnacentral:RNase_P_RNA from 1 species
GCAGUUCAUUAAAUGAUCGCCCCUUAUUCUUAAAGGAAUUUGGAGAGGAAAGUCCGGGCAACAUAGAGCAUGGCAGUCGCUAACGGCGACCGGGGGUAACUCUAGGGAAAGUGCCACAGAAACGAAACUACCUAUUUAUAUAGGAAAAGGUGAAACGAGUGAGGUAAGAGCUCACAGCAUACCAUGGCGACAUGGAUUGAAGGUAAACCCUGUCAGUUGCAAGGAGGUUUGUAUAAAAGGGCGGCUCGUCCGCAAGCCGAUAUCCGCUUGACCUGAUAGGCAACUACUAGGCUAGAUAGAUGAUCAUUCACGACAGAACCCGGCUUAUCGAUGGACUGCCAAA